rnacentral:rRNA from 1 species
GAUGAACGCUAGCGGCAGGCCUAACACAUGCAAGUCGAACGGGAUUUAAUUAGCUUGCUAAUUAAUGAGAGUGGCGCACGGGUGAGUAACGCGUAUACAACCUACCUUAUACUGAGGGAUAGCCCAGAGAAAUUUGGAUUAAUACCUCAUAGCAUUAUCGAUUCGCAUGUUUUGAUAAUUAAAACUCCGGUGGUAUAAGAUGGGUAUGCGUGACAUUAGCUAGUUGGUGUAGUAACGGUGCACCAAGGCAACGAUGUCUAGGGGGUCUGAGAGGAUGGUCCCCCACACUGGUACUGAGACACGGACCAGACUCCUACGGGAGGCAGCAGUGAGGAAUAUUGGUCAAUGGACGCAAGUCUGAACCAGCCAUGCCGCGUGAAGGAUGACUGCCCUAUGGGUUGUAAACUUCUUUUAUAUGGGAAGAAUAGCAGAUACGUGUAUCUGUAUGACGGUACCAUACGAAUAAGCACCGGCUAACUCCG